GUGCAGCGAGGCGGGACCGCCAGCGCUGGGAGCUGCUGUGGGGACAGGACAAACUGCGUCCGUGGACAAGGGUCACUGGGGAAUGGGAUGGCGGAGCUGCUUGGGCUUAAGCAGCAGCCAACCCCACCAAGCGGCUGGAGGGAUCGGUCCACUUUGGCCAAGUCCGACUCUCAAGGGAAUUCGGCGCUGAAUUCGACUUAAAAAAAAUAAAAAGCGAGACGGAUUGUUAUGUUUUCCUUUUGAAUCCUGACGUUUCUUCCUUUCUUUCCAGUGCAAGACCCUCACUGAAGAUAUCGUCUGGGCACAAUCCUGUGCCAUGUGCUCUAGGAUGCCCCUGCUUGAGCAGGGAGGUUGGACCAGAUGACCUACUGUGGUCCCUUCCAACUUGACCCAUUCUGUGAUUCUUCAGCGGGAGCGAAGCUUUGUGACCUUUGCAACCCGUGUGUAUAUGCAGCUCUCCGUGUUUUCCUCUGGGCAAAGCCGGAGUGAAUCCUUCAUUAAGAUUAUUUUUAGAUAAACACAGACAGGGCAAGAACAAGGGGAUGUGGAAUAGUUGGGUCCCAAGUACCUUCCGUGUCACCAACAGUGUCUCUCUGAAAUCUAAAAGCAUUACAAACAGCAAUUUUUAACCCAUUUCUAAAGCAAGAAUAAUGAGCAUGAGCUCCUCAGUAGCUGUUGCUUGUAGUAAUGCAGGGAGCUUCCUUCUGGAGGACACCAUCAUUGUAACAGUUAAUAUUUCAUAAAGGUUUUUGGUCUCCACAAUAAUAAUUUUUCCACAUUCUAUUUACUGUAAAUCAUGUACUGUGAUGGCUGCCUACCUGUAAUGCAGCAUGGUUUUGUUCCCCUUUCAUAAACAGGGAGUUGGAAAACAUCCUUGAGUUUUGACAUGCUGUGGUUUUCAAACUUGGGAAUCUUGGAAAAAAAAAAAAAUCCAAAUGAAGAAUAAAUUUUACUGCAGUACUAUUUUUAAAGUUUCUAUUUUAAAUAACAGCUUUUCUUCAGACUUUUCUGAAAUUCUUCAUUCUUAUUCAGAGAAUGUGAAAAGAACUUCUCAUAAAUUCGAGCAUCCCUACUUGUAUGUUGGGUUCGUUUGCUGUGACAUCCAUUGCAAAUCAUAUAACAAAUAGGUUCCCUCUGGCACAGCACUGAACACUCUACCUGUACUUAUAAGUCUUUAGGGGUGCUUUGUGAGGUAAAGAGAGCAGGAUUGUUUUCUAAGUAAUUUAUUGUUUUCAGAUUUUUAUUUUUACAUUUUCAUUUUACUGGCUGUUAGCUUGACGGAACUGGAUAAAUGGGUGUGAGUUUUUAAAACUGCGUGUAAUACUGGCACAGUUGAAUUACAUGGUCAGACUUUGCCUUCAGACAAGGAAUUAGGAUUUCACUCUGUGUUCAGUAAAAGCAAACGUAUGAUUGAACAAAACUGUUGUCUUCAGUAGAACUAUUUAUGUGCUUAACCAAUAAGUAUUUUCCUAAGGAUUUUCCUGUCUUGGUGCUUCAGUCCUGGUGGCAAUUCAUAGCACAGUGCAAAUAACCUUAAUAAGAAAAAUGGAUGAUUAGCUAGGAGAAUGAGUUAAUUAAUUAUUGAGUAUGCCUGUGUAUUUCUUAGGUAAGCUUUAAUGACUGACUUCCUUUUCGUUGUUUGGAUUUUUCCACCUAUUUACUGUACGUAGUGAGCUGUGGGCACAUUUGUACUCCCCGAAUCUACUUGUCUGCCUAUUUGUAUACUUUUUAUCAUUUACAUCGAUCAUACAUAUCUCUUCAACUACCAGCUUUGACACUCAGUCUGCUGCCAGCCAAAUACCGCAAGAUUCUCCUGGGUUUGGAAAUGAAUUUUACAAGUGGUUACAGAAUUGAAAGCUCUGUCAGAUAUGCUGAGUAUGAGGAUUGGGAACUAUACACAUGCCUGGAUCUCAGCUUGUAUGAAAAUUAUGGAAGUACUUCCAGACACCUAUUAACCUACAGACAAUCUAUUAAUCACGAAGCAACACCAGAGAGGAGCCCUGAGGCUGCUGAAUGAUACCAUUACUACAGGAGAGUUUCCAUCAGCUGAAUGGACGAAGUUCUAUAAACCUUGAGGAUUAGAAAUUUUCUACGGAAGAGAUCCAGAUGAAGAACUGCUUGGUGGAGAGGCCUUGAUUUACCUUAUGGGACAAAUCCAGGCUCACCAGUCAUGAGUGACGGGAUGGUGUGCCAAAACUUGAAGAAACGGUACUCCUGGGACCCCGGAGUCUGCCUCAGGAGAUGUUGGCUACAAUGUACCACUUCUGAAGUGUUUCUACACCAAUGAAUGCAGCAUGAGGAACAAACUAGAGGACCUCAAAGCUUCGGCCUAGUCCCAGAGAUUUCACAUUGUUGGCAUAAGUGGAACCUGGUGGGAUGAGACCUGUGACUAGAGUGCCCUGUUGGAUGGUUACAGGCUCUUCAGGAGAGACAGGCAGGGCAGAAGAGGCAGCGGGGUGGUGCUGUAUGUGACAGAACAGUUAAAAUGUAUGGAGCUCACAGCUGGCAAUGGCAUCGUUGAGAGCCUCUGGGUAAGAAUCAAGGGGCAAACAAAUAAUGUGGAUGUCAUUGUGGGAGUCUCCUACAGACCUCCCAGCCAGGAUGCUGACGCUGACAAAUUAUUCUUUGAGGCACUAAGGGACACUUCCAAGUCAACUGCCCUUGUCCUUAUGGGGAACUUCAACUUGACAGAAAUUAACUGGCAGCAUCACGCAGUUGAUCAGCCCAGCAAGAAGAUUCCUUAAAAAUCUGGAUGACAACUUUAUGGAACAGGUCCUAAGGGAGCCAACUCAGAAGGAUGCCCUCCUUGAUCUGCUGCUUGUCAACAGAGCGGACCUCCUGAGAGAAGUGGAGAUUGGUGGCCGGCUAGGCCAGUGCAACCACAAAGGGAUUGAGUUUGAAAUCUCUGUUGACAGGAGGAAAAGUGCCAGCAAAACCUCAACUCUGGACAUGAGGAGAGCAGACUUCAGGCUGUUCAGGGAAUUAGUGAGUAAGGUCCCUUGGGAAAAUGUUUUUGCAGGUGCUGGGAUCCAUCAGUGCUGGUCACUUUUUCAACACAGGGCACAGGGGAAGGCAAUUCCCAAAUGCUGGCAGUGAAGAAGGUGAGGCAGAAGGCCAUCUUGGCUGAACAGGCAGGAAUCUUCUCUUGGGGAUAAGGCAAAAAAGGAAGGUGGAUGCCCAGUGGAAGCAAGGUCAAGUGACAUGGGAAGACUUCAGAGAUGCUGCUUGCCAACGUAGGGAGAAAAUUUGUGUGGCCAAAGCUCAACACGAGUUGAAGCUGCCAGAAAUGUGGGGGACAAUACAAAGAGAUUUUUCAAAUACAUUAAUGGCAAUAGGCAGUAUAGAAAUAUCAUUGUCCCGUUCAAGGAUGAGGUCACCUCACAAACAGGGAAAGGGACAAGGCAGAGGUGUUUAAUGCUUUCUUUGCCUCUGUCUUCAACACGAAUGAUGAACCAAGGGGGUCUCAGUGCCCUGAGCUGGAGGAUCAUGACUGCGAGAACGAUCAACUCCCAGUCAACCCUGAAACUGUGUGGGAUCUGCUGCUCCAUGGAUCCCUACAAAUCCAUGGGGCCUGAUGAGAUUCAUCCCAGAAUCCUCGAAGAUCUGGCUGAUCUCCCAAAACCUCUCUCGAUUUUUGAGUAGUCUUAGGAAUCCAGAGAGGUCCCAGCUGACUGGGAGCUGACAAACCUUGUCCCAAUUUUCAAGAAGGGCAUGGAGGACCCUGGAAACUACAGGCCUGUCAGUCUCACUUCAGUGCCUGGAAAAGUUAUGGAGAUUAUUCUCAGAGGUGUGUUGAAAAACACCUGAGAGACAAUUUUGUCAUUGGUCACAGCCAGCACAGCUUCAUGAGAGGAAGUCCUGCUUAUCAAACCUUAUUUCUUUUUAUGACAAUGUAACCCACCUAGUUGAUCAAGGGAAGCCAGCUGAUGUAAUCUUUCUGGAUUUCAGUAAAGCUUUCGAUACUGUCUCUCACAGGAUCCUUCUGGACAAAAUGUCCAGCACACAGCUGGAUGAACACAUCACUGGUGGGUGAGCAAUUGGCUCACAGGUUGAGCAGAGUGAAUGGGGUAGCAUCAGACUGGUGACCUGUCACUAGUGGGGUUCCACAGGACUCUAUCAUCAGCCCUGUGCUCUUCAACAUGUUCAUAAAUGACUUGGAAACAGGACUGGAAGGGAUACUGAGCAAGUUUGCAAAUGACACAAAACUGGGAGGAGCUGUUGACUCCCUCGAAGGCAGGAAGGCCCUGCAGAGAGACCUCGACAAAUCAGAGGACUGGGCAAUCAACAACCAUAUGAAGUUCAACAAGGGGAAGCGCUGGAUUCUGCACCUGGGAUGGGGCAACUCUGGCUGUUCAUACAGACUGGGGUACAAGAUGCUGGAAAGCAGUGCCAUAUAAAGGGACCUGGGGGUCCUGGUCAAUGGCAAGUUGAACAUGAGUCAGCAGUGCCCUGGCAGCCAAGAGGGCAAACAUGUCCUGGGGGUAUCAGGCAAAGCAUCACCAGCUGGUUGAAGGGGUGAUUGUCCUGCUCUGCUCUGCACUGAGGUGGCCUCACCUUGAAUACUGUGUGCAGUUUUGGGCACUGCAACAUAAGAAAGCUGCUAGAGAGCCUCCAAAGGAGGGCAACGAAGAUGGUGAAGGAGCUUGAGGGGAAGCUGUGUGAGGAGUGGCUGAGGUCACUUGGUCUGUUCAGCUUGGAGGAGAGGAGACUGAGUGGUGACCUCGUUGCAGUUAAAACUUCCUUGUGAGGGGAAGAGGAGGGGCAGAUACUGAUCUCUCCUCUAUGGUGACCGGUGACCGGACCCAAGGGAAUGGCUAGAAGUUGUGCCAAGGGAAGUUUAGGCUGGAUGUUAGAAAGAAGUUCUUCAACCCAGAGGGUGGUUGGGCGCUGGAACAGGCUUCCCUGGGGACAGACACCACCAAGCCUGACAAAGUCCAGAAGCAUUUGGAUGAUACUCCCAGGCACGUGGUGUGACUUUUGGGAGGGGUCCUCUGCAGGGCCAGGAGAUGGACUCAAUGAUCCUUGCAAGUCCCUUCCAUCUCAUCAUAUUCUGUGAUUCUUUGAUUCUGUGAUAUUACAGGAACAAUUUACAUCCUAAAAAUGAGCUUCCUAAAUUACAGACUGACCGUGACAUUACCCAAACAGAAAUUCAAAGAUUAUAGAGGAUAACCAAAUGCUUCCCAUAUUAAGUAGUACUGCAACCUUCUUUGAUUUAUCUCUUAAUCUGCACGACAUUAUCUGAAAAAUAUUACACAAAAAGUUACGUUUAAAUUUCCUUAUCUUGUAAGGCAUUAUUUCCUAUACCAAAAAUCAGUAUGUUUUUUGUAUUUACUUUUAAUAGGUAUAGAUGAUAGACUCAGUAAUUACUGUCCCUUCUGUUUGCACUUUCUCCUCAGCCAAAAGACGCACUCAUAUUUACACAGCACCCACAGUGUAGUAUGUAUUUUAGAACACUGACAGAUGUUGAAAACAAGCAUAGCUCAUCUGAAUUCUGUAGCUAUGAUCUGAAUAUUUUGCACAUUGAAUGAAAACAUUAAUUUUAGACCAGGUGUCACUAACUUCUCCGAUAACAUCCCUAUUCCACAAUGACUUCCUAAUGGAAACUAUUUUGAGCCUUUUGGUCAGUUCCUAAACUUUGUAUUGGUGAUAUUGCAUAACGUUCAUGUUUUGAUGACAGCAAUGUGAUACUUAAGGUGACAAUUCAGUGCCAAGCACUGAAAUAUUUGUAGGUGCAUCUAAAUUACCAUAUUUAUCAACUGUCUUUUUCAAUUACUGCCUGCCCAUAUAACAAAAUUUACUUUUCAUAAAGGCAUGUGGACAGAUGUGAAUUCUUUAUUAUUCAAGUCCUGUAUCAGCUUUUGUAUUAUUUGGCUCAGGGUGACUGUUAGCGCUAUCUGGCUGUGUUGGGUUGACCUUGGCUGGAUGCCAGGUGCCCACCCAGCCUCUCUAUCACUCCUCUUUCCCACCAGACAGGGGAGAGAGUAAGAUGGAAAACAACUCAUGGGUUGGGAUAAGGCACUUUAUUAAAGCAGAAACAAAGCAAACGCUUGCCCACAUCGAUGGUCGGCCACUGCCAAGAAGCAGGGCUCCAGCACGUGUGAUGGUCCCUCAGCAGGCAGCCACUGGAGACAGUGAAUGCCUCCCUUCCUGCUCCUUGCCUCAGCUUUUGUAUCUGAGCUGACUACAUACGGUCUGGAAUAUCCCUUUGGUCAGUUUGGGUCAGCUUUGGCCUGCGUGUGUCCCCUCCCAGGAUCUUCCCCUCAACUGAGGAAGGAAUGUUACAGUGCGGAUGCUCAGCAGUAGCCAAACACCGGUGUGUUAUCGACACCCUUCUGGCUACCAGUGCAAAGCACAGCACUGUGAGAGCUAUUAAUGGGGAAAUGAACUCCAGCUCAGCCAGACCCAAUACACUAGCAUAUAGUAAUCCAGUUCAUUCCCUAAAUAAAUUUGUCACAUUUGGACUAUUCCAGGGUUUCCGUAUCACUGCAAGAUGUAAUUUCUUUUUAGUAAGAUAGGUCUCUCUGCCUGCCUCAGGAGCACAUGAUGCCAGUAAAGCAUGCAAUCUUGGAACUAGGGAAGUGGAACCAUUUUCACAGUGUUUACCCCCUAAGGAAAAAGAAUUUAAAAAAUCUGAAAAGAGCAAUUUGCUUGCAGACUAAGAAUAUGCUUAUUCUAUCAGAUGCAGCUUUCUUGUUUCACUACAUUUAUGGUGAUUUUCUUUCUCAAAGUAAUGAGUGUGCAGAAACAAUGAAAAGGCAUAACUUGCACAUACAAAGUCUGACAUCAAAGAAGGCGACAUAUAUAUAAUGGGAAGACUUCGCGAGCAAAGAUCCGGGGAAGGUCUUUACACCUUCCAGCCUGCGCAUUGGAUUUUUUUUUUUUUUUAGGUGAGACACAGUGCUUUUUGAAGAAAACUAGUGGGUUUGCCAAUUAAUUACUUUGCCAGCCCUACUGACUUCCUUCUAAAGAUAUGAAAUUACUUACAAAAAUACACUUCAUAACACAAGGCUAACUUCCUGGGAAACCUAGAAGGGGUUGUGGCUCUGCCAUCAGCAAAUAGUGGUAGUUGCAGUAUCUGACAGGGGAACGGCUUAAGAGCUUUUCUCAUCUUGUCAGCUCAGCUGUAAGCUGCAAACUUCACCUCAGUGUGCCAGGAGGGCAGGUGGGACUUGAAUGUAGGAGGGUGAUGGAAGAGAUCAGGGACCUGAUCUGCACUGAAGCAUUCAGAACAUUGUCUGAAGCCAACCAGAACAAGAGGUCCUGGGAAGUAUCUCUGCACCUCUCCUUCCCUUCCAGUGUGGCUUUAAAUGACAUAUUGCUGUCACAAAAUCCUUGGAGUAACUGGGAAUUACAAGCUGUCAACUGCCUCCUACUCUCUUUUGUUUUGGUGACUGUCUUAUUAACAAGGUUAAGUGAAUCUUGUAAUUGUAGGGUUUAUGUUGAUACUUAUUUACAGCAAGCUUUUUGAUGAAAAAAGAAAGCUGACUAUAGAUUUUAUCUGACAUGAUUCAUAGAGAUGUUAGAAUCCUCUUCUCUAUAUGAAUGUCUAGUUGAGUGACAAUAAUUUUUGAUAAACACUGUAAAUAAUAAUAUACUUUCUGUAGUAUUAAGGAUGUCCACACUGGAUGAGUUAUCAUAUCUUAUGUGUAAAUAUAUAAAGUUUGAUGACACUCACAACUUGACUGAAUUCCCAGAAACCUCUGAGACACCCAUAGAAAUGUUGCUGUUUUUUUCUCUCUCUUUAGGAAGCUGAUUACAGAAACUGUGUGCGUGUAAUCUUGGAAGCCAAAUUAACAAUAACACAGAAUUGCGUAAGUUUUUCUAACUAAAUGCUACUUUGAUAAAUACCCUUUUAAAUUUUAGUUGGAUGAUACAACUAUUAGUAGGUAAGUACAUUCCUUCAAAUAUAAGAUUCCAUGUAUUUGCAUUUUCAAAGGGAGAAUGAAGUGUGUUAGGAGACCUGAGUUAUCAGAUAUUAAAGCUCCAACCUACCAACUCCUAAGUACUUUGGUAAAUCAAACUAGAUCCUUUGCUCCUCUCCGAUUUUUCCCACCAAGUUCUAGGCUAACACAAUAUGGAAAAACAAAUGGGAGUAUGAAUGUAGGGGGCCUCUUUGUAUGUGUUAUUCAAAGAGUAGGUCACUUCUCCGGAAUUACUUCCUCUACUCCACAGAUAACCCUCAUUUAAUUCGUAAAUAUUUAGAUCAAAGCUUUGUACUGGGUUACUGUAUUCUAUACCUAAAUACAAGGUUUUAAGCCACAAGCUUAUAUCACCCCCCCACUGGUUUAUGUAACCUUAAAUAUAUUCCCUGAUUUCACCAAACAUCUCACAAUUAGUAUCUUUCCAUUUGAUUACUGUUACAGAAUUACUUUUAAGAACAAAAUAUUUAUGACAAUACACUGCUUUUGCAACCUUAUAAAUACUUUUAGACCCAAUGACAGGACAGAAACCCCUUUUUAUAUACUAUAGUCUGGAAAUAUUAUUAAUCUUAUUCUGUGUUGGUCAUUAAAUAGCCAUUUUGUAACUGAGGAUGUAAGUCUUAGAAAAAGAUUAUGCAGACACACUGUGAGAAAAAAAGCAUGUAACAAAAUGCAACACUAAAUAAGGCCUUGAAUAGCUUUAUUGAAAUCUGUAUAAAUAAACAUGCGCAUUUCAAAUGUAAACCCAAGUGAACUCAAGUGCAGACAAAAUUUUAACCUCUGUCAUGCAGGAGGUUAGUUUACAUUAAAAAAAAAAAACAAACCUCAAAGCAGCUUUAAAAUACCAGGAUGAAACACCAGUUUUAAUAUCAAGGUAUAAAGCAAAGCCAUGUCCAACAUAUCUCAUUUAUAUCCUGGUCAAAUGCAAUUUUUUAAACUUUUUAAUGCUAACAUAAAUAAAUAAUUUACCAAAAUGUGCACUCACAGAGUGAACUUUUAUUUACAAUACACAAUUUAUAACCUAUUGUAUUUGAUUAGUUCAAGUGAAGAACAUCAGACUUUUUGCUUUUUUCUUUUUUUAAAUUGUUUAAACAGUGGGACACCAAGCAAUUCUCCAGGUAGUAGAUAUGUGACGUGUGCCCCCACACUUAAAAGCCCCUCUCAAAGGCAGUAUUGUAUACAAAUCAACAAUACAUUCUUCCAACUAGAUCAAUGGGAAAGCAGCAAAUCAAAAAAUGUUUCAAACUGUCACACUUAUUUUGGCAUCCUGGACCCCUGAACACAGUUAACUGAAAUCCAAUUCGGAGUUUGUAUGCCUUAUAUACUGUACAGGUUCUGACUUGAACAUGCAAAUGCCAAUUCUCUUAUAAUUAUGAGUUACCUUUUCAGAUGCACUGUAAGGCUAUGGUGAAUUCCAUCAGGAACACACAAAGAAAAUCAACAGAUCUACCUUUAAAGUGAUUUUGUUAAUUAACAAUUUAAAGGCAGGUUAUACUGAAAAAAUUCUCAACUAAGCCUGAUACACAGUCAUUACUAUGGAUACAGAAUACUAUUAACUUUGACCUUAAUACAGAGUAGUUUGCAAGCUGUCAAACUACAAAAACUGGGGAAAGAGAACUUACAGCACAAUUUUAAAUUUUGGACUGAUACCAGAUUAAAAUUAUGCAUAUCUUAUAAGCAAGAUAACAGGAAUUAUGUCUGCAGAGUAGAUUCCAACAAGCAACAAUGGAUACUUACAUUUAAUUGAAAACCCUUUUGUUAAUGCAGCAUGAAAUCCAGAACCUGUUCCACAGCAGCAGUAAGAUGAACAUAAUAUUCUGGAUGUUCCACUAUAACACAAAAGGUUAAAACACCUUUUUCAAGCUAUUUCUUCUACUGUGACCAAAUUUAAAAAAAAUUAGGGAGAAACAAAAAUUUGCUGUUUCAAAAAAACUACUACUGUAGUUAUUCAUGACAUUUUUACUUGUAGUCUGUGUGGCAGCUAAGGAACAUUUAUAUAGUCAUCCAGAAACUAGACUUGGCAGUAGUAUUCUUGCAAUACUUAUAAAAUAAAUGUCAGAAGUCCACAGAUUUAAUAUUUUAGUUAUUAACUCACAUCCAAAACAAAAAAAAAACCCAAAACAUAAUCCAUCAGAACAGCAGCAGAAACUUAAAAGGGGUUUAUUUGUGAUUUCCUAUAUAUACCUUGUGAAUACGAGACUGUAAAUGCAUUAGAGACAAUUUCUGUUUAAGUUUUUAUUGUUUCACUUCAAGUACUGCACAUGUUAAAAUGUAAUAAAGAUUUACAUUCUGUUAUCUGAAA